rnacentral:lncRNA from 1 species
CUCAAUAUUUACCUGGACUGUUGCACUAGGUCCCUAAUUCCAGUCUGUUCUUCAUAUUUUAUCCAGAGGUCUUUUCAAAACAUAUCGUUCCAUCACUGAAACAUAAGACUUGCCAUUGAUCUUUGGAUAUAAACCAAAAUCUUCAGUAUGAUCCACAAGGCCCUCCAUGUUUUUGCCUAACUAUUCAUCUCCUUCAACGCUAGGAAUUAUCUCACUUGAUUUCUGAACUCUGGUCACAGUGGCCUUUCGAUCCUUAGGCUGUGUCCUGUUAUCCUUUGCUAUGAGAUCUUGGUAUAUCUUUUCCCUGCCAAUUUUGUUGUUUUGUUUUUAGGGCUGCACCUGCAGCAUACAGAAGUUCCCAGGUUAGAGGUCGAAUCUGAGCUGUAGCUGCAGGCCUACACCACAGCCACAGUAACACUGGAUCUAAGUUUCAUCUGCAACCUAUGCUGAAGCUUGAGGCAACCUAUGCUGAAGCUUGAGGCAAUGCUGAAUACUUAACCCACUGAGCCAGGCCAGGGAUGGAACCCACAUGCUCAUGAAAUCUAUGUCAGGUUCUUAACCCACUGAACCAAUAUGGGAACUCCCAGAAUUUUUUUUCCCAGUCCUCCACACCUAACUUCUAGGAGGCCCUCUUACACACUCUCAUACUACAGCCCACCUUUUCCACCUGGCUUUAUGACAGUUUAAAUUGCGUAUUAUUUAUGUGGUUAAUCGAUUGAUGUCUACUUCCUCAUCUAAACUAUGAAAUGCUUGAAAAGACUCUAUUUUGGCUGUCUUUGGAGUAGUGAGGAGGCACUCAAACUACUUUUUUUUAAGAAAUGAGAGGAAAUAUUUGAAUGCAGUGUUUGUAGAGUUUCAAUGUUAACGAUAGCAGUUAUUCCUUAUGUUUCUGUCUGUUGUCACAAAUUAUUUUUAGUUUUGGAUAGAGCAGAAGAUAUUUUAGGAUCUCUAUGCAUAUCAGCAGAAAAGAGAGAGCAUGUUAAAAUUAAGGAAUUUGAAGCAUGUUUAAUAGGAACUGAUAUGCCAUGGUAUGAGAUGAAGACUGGGAAAUCAUGAGAGAUGCUGGGGGUCCCUGGGCUACUAUUAGCAGGGGAAGUGGAAGCAGGGACAAACACUUCCUCUCUAUAUUUAGUUUUCUGCCUGUCUUCCUUUUUGGCUAAACUCACCUGGAAGCCAGAGGAAAACUGAAUCGGCUGUAUACAGUUUGUACAGACUACCUGACUUUAGCAAAAAGAAGAUAGAGAAUGGAUCUAAAGAACAAAGAAAAAUAUCCAGUACAUUAUGCAAAGUUGAUUACACCUAAAAGAACUUGGUUAUGCUUAUUUUACUUAUUGCUUUAGUAAAAGACUGAAGUCGACUCUCUAUCCUUUCAUAAAUAAUGUUUUCCCAUGUGGACUCAGGCCUCCAAAAUCACGGUAAAAAACAUAAAAAAAAUGCUAAGGAAUCUAUCUACUCAUAUCCUUUAAAGAGGUUUGAAUAUGCUAAUAAGACAUCCAUCUGGCCCUGUUUUCUGCAUUCUUCUAUAAUCAUUAUGGGGUUGGAUGAUUCAGAUGUUUCAUUGUAAUUGUCUUGUUUGUCAGAGAACUCUUCCUCUCCCCAUCUCAGCAGAGGAAGGGAUGUCUCUAGAGUGGAUAAAGAGGAAGAUUUGUUUUUUUUCUUCUCUUCUCCACUCUUACAUUUUAGAUAAAGUUGUUUUUCUCCCGAGCACUAGAUAUUUUCCAAGACAUUCUCUGCUUGUUCUUUUAAUCCAAAUGACAGUGGAACAAACUAUAUAGCUAGUAUCCUCUUAUUCUCUCUGGAAAUUUAUAAAAGAAAAUAGGUAAAGCAAGCCAAAGGAAACCAAUAGGACACUAUUUUUUUAAAAGGCCUAAUAUCUCACAAUUAGCUUCAGAUUAAGUUCCCCAUCAGUCCCCAUGAUCAUAUUAUAAACAAUUUAAAAAUUGGCAACACAAUUAAUAUGUAUUUCCUCAUACAUAUCACGAGGUUUGCGUUAAAUUAUACCCCAUUGGUAUGGAUCAUACAAAGGACAGAAGAGAAAUUCAACCAAGAAUUUCAAAGAUUGAGGGAUUCUUGGCUGACCCCGCAUCUAGCUACACAUUCAGUGUUGACUUCUCUUCUUUACUUCAUCCAGUUUCAGUACUUGCCAUCACGGCAAAGACUUUCCACUCUGAGGCAGCUCCUUCUGUCCUGGGACACCUCUGACUAUGUUCUUCUUUCCCU